CUAACCAACCAAGAUAUUCUAUUGCUUGUUCUCUGGGGAGAUGAUGAGAGAAUGACCAACUUAUGACAGAUCUUAGUCCCAUUCCUUCAUGAGCUGCUAAGUCCAGAACUACAGCAUUUAAGACCCUAAAUAUAAUGGAAUCAUGGAACAUAAUCUGAAAUUCCUGAGAAACCGAAACAGAGAACCAGAAAGAAUCUCAAUAUGAAAAUGUAUGGAGGCAGAAAACACUUAGAAGUGUGAUGCCUGCUGUAUGUAACUGCAGUUCAACAAAUAAGAUAUAUUUCAGAUAUUUUUAUACAUGGAAAACAGUGGGCUGCAUUUCCUACUGAAAUUAACAGAUUGUAAAUCCAUACUCCCUGACUUCAUGCUCAUAACUAUCUCUCCAGAACCAUUUGUUCUACCACAAGAAGUUAUUUAGACCUAUAUGCAGGAAGAUUUAUGCCUAACUAUAGUAAAGAUGUAGAUCUAACUUAAUAGUCUAAAGCAAUUUAUUUUUCCUUGAUCUCCACAUGCUUUAUGCACAGUCAUGUUUAAGGAAUGCACCCAGUGAAUCUUUCCUAGAAUAUAAUACCAGAAGAGAACAGGCUGUUCCACAAAUAAGAAAAACUACUUUAGUCUAUUCAGAAAUCAGGCUCAAACUGACAAAACCUAGAAAGCAAACAAAAAAAAUAUAAAUUCUUUAUAAAAUAAUGAUUAUCCAUACUCUUUUUUUUUUUAUUAUGAAGACUGACAUAUUGUGGUUUCUUGAAUCUAACCAUUGCUGUGCUUUGAUUUAUGUUACAUCCAAAUAAAAUUAAGUCUCAUCCUAAAAUAAAACAUACUGAAAUAUUACAGUAUGGUUUUUUAUUAGUAGCAGUGCCACUGGCCUACAGAGAACACUUCCCCCUAUUUCCAUGUCCUUACACCUUUUUCCCACUGUUCUCCAUUUAAUCACAUUAGCUUUUAGCAUAGUCUCCCUAUGAAGACACACCAUGCUUUGUGAUGUUACCUGAUGAGACAUAUGCUUGUAACAACCUUCACUGCAGGGGUGAUUGAUGUUAAAGUGCCCUACAGGGAUUAUUCUCUUUUAAAAACAAAAAUAUAGAAAAGAGAAAUAUUACCUUCAAAAAGUCAAUUUAACUAUGGCAUCUAAGCAGAGGGUAUAAUUCUUUGACCAACUCUAAAUGAGUUUGUGGAUCUGGAUAAAGUUUCACUCCAUUGCCUAUAAAACUAAUCUGAUGAUUUAAAUAGUAAGGGAUACUGCCUUCAGGCCAUUCUUGCCAUACAAAGAAGUUAAGAGUAAGGCUGAUGGUACCAGGGACAAUACAAAUCAUGGGAUCAGAAAUACAUUUGUUACAGUAGCAGUAAAAAACAAACUAAAAUUAAGAAUAGCAAUGGACCAUAAUCAAACUUCUAGUUUCAAAUGCCACUGAGCAUUGAACACCUGUGAAGUUCACAUUUAAAUUCUGUGGCUAACUUUCCUCUCUGGCCAAGCCAAAAUCCUUAGGACAAACACCAGUGAACUUUAACUGGGUGCAACUCCAGAUACAUUGGAGAAUACACAUUUCUUGUCUUGCUACUAUGCAACAUAUUUACACACAAAUUAAAACAAGCAAUAGACCAACAAAUGCCAACAAUAAUACUAAGAAAAAUACUGAGGACAUGCUUGUGGUAAGGUACCCAUUCAUUUUACAAAUGAAAAAGGGUGCUCUAAGUGUAUGCCUCAUAAUUUUUGGGGGAGUGGCGUGGUGAGGGGAAAGGCAAGCAAAAUUGAAACUAACCUUAUUAAGCGGAUUUUUUAGGCUAAGAAAGAAUUGCAAGUGUUUGGGAAAAAUAAACACAGAACCUUGUAAAAUGCAAGUUUAAUAUCUGGUAUGGGGAAGGGAGGAAAGAAGUUGUACCAUAUAUUCUGUUUUGAGUUAUUCAACAAAUGCAGGGAUUACUGCAAGGAAAUCAGCUGGAUGCAAUUACAUAGUGACAACCCGGCAGCCUCAGUAACACUGCAGCUCUAAGAUCAGCUCAGAGCUCCCCCUCAGUUCAGAACUGACACAUGUUGCUAAAAGACUUCUUUCUAGCAAAUUUCAUUCUUUAAUGUUGAUGCUACUACUCAAAGGCCCAAAAUGUAUUUCUAACAACUUACGUCUUCUGAUCAUUACAGUAAGGCUUUUGGACUUCUUUAAUUUGGUUUAUGUGCACUUUAAAUUUUUGUCAAGUUGCUAUUUCAUUAUAAUCAGGUCUCCAUUUAAAUCUCUUUGGAGCAGUUUCUGGAUUUUUAUAUGGACAGAAAAUAUUUUUUAUCUCUAGCCUAUUCAGAAUACAUUAGUGAGAUUUUAUGUUACUUAUGAGACAAUUCUGAUUUUAAAAGUUGACAUAAAUGUGCCACGUGGCAUAUAUUUAUCUAUUAUAGUGUAGAAAAAGAGCUAACACAAGUGUUCUGAAUACACAGCUAAUGCAACUUCUUGGCAUUCAAAAUAUUGCCCUUACUCCAUAUCUUUACGCAAAUAAUAAAGUGUGAAAAUAUACACAUAUCUGUAGAUCUGCUAAGAAGACUCACCUAACGAAAAAUUCUAAUAUAUUUUAGCAGAAGCACUCAUAGUGCAUAGAAGAUCAGAAACAUUUGGAUAUGACAGCAUAUGAAAAACAGAAUGAAGGAGAAAGAAAAGUUGGGACAUGAUGCAUGUAGUAAACAGAACUGUACUUGUUCCUGAAGGAAGAUUUUUCAAACAGUGUAUUGCUUUUAGUAGAAUAAAUCUAAAGUAUCACAUAUGGAAAAUUGCUUUUGACUUCAAUGGCAGCAGAAACGAGGCUGAUACAUGCAAGAGAGACAAUAUUUCUGAAGGUUGUUCAUUCCCAAAAGGGGUCUUUUGGCUUAUAAGAAUGUUCUGUGUUACCACCAUCUCAGCUAAUACAAGAAAGGCUAUGAUUUUCUCAAUUUCAACAAAGAAACAAGCCUAUUAAUGGAAAAACUCAUAACUGCCUUGUUUCAGACUGGUUUUGAUCCUACACAGGAUGUGCAUUCAAUGAAGAACAGAUUACAGAAAAUUCUCAAAAUUCUUAAGGAAUAAUCACCAAGCAGUCUUAAAUGAAGAAAAUACUUUUUUUUAAAGGAGUGCAUAAUUAAAGUGUAGGAUUCACAAAUAUCUAUGAAUCCAACACUAAGUAGAUAAAUUAAUAUCAGACAGUUAAUCAUCUAAUGAUAAAAACAGUGCUAUUUAACAGCAUAAAAGGGGAUCAGGUCUAUCACUUUGACUUUCCAUCAGUACACUGAUGAGAAGAUGGACGGCAAAAGGGAGGAUUCUGCAGAGGGCCAAAUGACAGGGGAGAUACCAUGGUACAGAAAGAGAACUCAAGCGAGCUAGAAAUUAGGAAUCAGCAAAAGCUUUAUAGCAGGAGGCAUUAAAACAAUGAAUCACAUUCAUGAAAAUGCAGAAUUCAUUAAAAGCUGUCCCCUUCACUAUUUUUUUACAUGUAAUGAUUAAAGCAUAGAACAGCAAGUCAGAAAUUAAAGCUCUUAGAGAGCAAAUAUUGAAUAGCAAGCUCAAUGAGAAGCAGAUUGACUUUUGUAUAGCAUUUUUUAAAUUCCUUUCUCACCCUUUUUUACUCUGUUUCAUUAUGAAAACAGUUGAGAAUGUGUGGAUUAACAUACCAUUAACAUAUAAAGAAAUACAGUCAAAAUAUAGAAAGCUCUAAAUUAAAAGGCCCAUAUUUAUUAAUAUCUCUAUCCAAAAAAAAAAA
rnacentral:lncRNA from 1 species